rfam:Dipodomys ordii contig_51236, whole genome shotgun sequence.
GGGACUAUGGCUUAGUGGUAGAGUGCUUGCCUAGUAUGCAUGAAGCUCUGGGUUCGAUUCCUCAGUACCA